GCUGUCUCGCAACCUCAGGAUCGAGGGAAGCUUGCUCCAAAUUGGGAAGGCCCAUACGAAGUCAAGGAAGUAGUCCGACCCGAAACUUAUUACCUCAAGGAGCUCGGAGGAGCAGACCUCCCACGAUCAUGGAGCUCGAAAAACUUACGAAUGUAUUACCGAUAACUUUAUUUUAAAUAAAAGUCUCAUAUCCACAUGUCUUCUCUCUUGGCACGAGCCUAUAUCGACAGGACAGUCAAAACAAACCAUGUCGGGAGCAGGAGGAGAACUUCAUCUCGACACAAUCGAAGGUCCGAUUCUCCUUAGACCGGAUGGGGGGAGAGGCCCUGCAA
rnacentral:lncRNA from 1 species